rnacentral:tRNA from 1 species
AGGGCUAUAGAUCAGCGGUGGAGUGACUUGUCUAAACAUGACCCAGAGUGUCUACGGUUUGAAUCCGUAUAGUCCUA